rnacentral:rRNA from 1 species
CGGUCUCCAGUCGAGACGGGUAGCCGGCCUGAGAGGGCGACCGGCCACACUGGGACUGAGACACGGCCCAGACUCCUACGGGAGGCAGCAGUGGGGAAUAUUGCACAAUGGGCGAAAGCCUGAUGCAGCGACGCCGCGUGAGGGAUGACGGCCUUCGGGUUGUAAACCUCUUUCAGCAGGGAAGAAGCGCAAGUGACGGUACCUGCAGAAGAAGCGCCGGCUAACUACGUGCCAGCAGCCGCGGUAAUACGUAGGGCGCAAGCGUUGUCCGGAAUUAUUGGGCGUAAAGAGCUCGUAGGCGGCUUGUCACGUCGGGUGUGAAAGCCCGGGGCUUAACCCCGGGUCUGCAUUCGAUACGGGCUGGCUGGAGUGUGGUAGGGGAGAUCGGAAUUCCUGGUGUAGCGGUGAAAUGCGCAGAUAUCAGGAGGAACACCGGUGGCGAAGGCGGAUCUCUGGGCCAUUACUGACGCUGAGGAGCGAAAGCGUGGGGAGCGAACAGGAUUAGAUACCCUGGUAGUCCACGCCGUAACGGUGGGAACUAGGUGUUGGCGACAUUCCACGUCGUCGGUGCCGCAGCUAACGCAUUAAGUUCCCCGCUGGGGGAAAUACACGAA